rnacentral:rRNA from 1 species
CCACCGCGGUUAUACGAGAGACUCAAGUUGAUAGACUACGGCGUAAAGAGUGGUUAAGAAUAAAAUAAAAUAAAGUCGAAUGCUCUCAAAGCUGUUAUACGCACCCGAGAAUAAGAAGCCCAAUCACGAAAGUAACUUUACACAAUUCUGACCCCACGAAAGCUAGGCCACAAACUGGGAUUAGAUACCCCACUAUGCCUAACCCUAAACAUUAAUAGCAUAAUACACCAGCUAUUCGCCAGGGAACUACGAGCCCCAGCUUAAAACCCAAAGGACUUGGCGGUGCUUUAAAUCCACCUAGAGGAGCCUGUUCUAUAACCGAUAACCCCCGUUUAACCUCACCUUCCCUUGUUUCCCCCGCCUAUAUACCGCCGUCGUCAGCUUACCCCUUAAGGGAUAAACAGUAAGCAUAAUUGGUUAAGCCCUAAACGUCAGGUCGAGGUGUAGCGUAUGAGAAGGAAAGAAAUGGGCUACAUUCACUAUCUAAGUGAAUACGAAUGAUAAAUUGAAACAUUCAUCUGAAGGAGGAUUUAGCAGUAAGCAGGAAAUAGAGCGUUCUGCUGAAACUGGUUCUAAAGCGCGCACACACCGCCCGUCACUCUCCCCAAAUUAAACCCGCCCUAUAACUAAUUAUAGUAUUAAUACAAAGGGGAGGCAAGUCGUAACAUG